UUCUCUCUACAAUGAGAGCUUCUCUCUCUAGCUUUUAGAGUUUCCCUCCUCUCGGUAGGAGCCUUAUGCUUUUCAAGAUCCAAAUUUCAAAACCCAAAUUUUAAAAUCCAACACAUUUCAAAAAUCCUAGAUCCAACAUCAGAUCACACUCAAACAGAUCUCAAAACUCAAGAUCCCAAAUUCUACGAGAGUUCCCACACCCAGCUCUACCCAUCUCAUACAAACACCCACAUUUAAGCCCCCUUUUCACUCAAUUUUUAACAAGACCAGAAAACCAAAAAUUGCUUUCUAGAACCAUUUAAUUCUCGACUAUCCUCGCACCAAAUGAGGAAAUCAGACCAAGAUCUUAUUCACAAUAUAAGUGGCAGCAAACUCAUGGAGCAUUAAUUAUUCCCAAUCUUGACCCAUUAGACAAACAUCUCACUAUUUUCUACUCUUGUUAGGUCCUAAGCAUCUUUAACACACUGAGAUUUUUUUUUUUUGCAGGUUUAAUUGAAUCUGGCAUUCGAAUCCAAGUAAUAGUAAGAGGCAUGCUUCUGUCUACGAAAAUGGAAGAUCCUUUGGCAAAUGCUUUCCAGAAAUUCGACUUGUCAACAACAGAAUUAGGAGGGAUAGAUCUAAGCAACGAAGAUGUGGAACAAAGUGUAGAAAGCUACAAAUGAAGCUUGGUGGAGAAGCUGAUAGGGCACAAAGAUAGGGCAAUCAAGGGAAGGAAGUCAUUCAGGAGAACACAAAGGAUGACCAAAUCCCCACUAAAAGAUGUCUCGAACAAGAUGAUGGAUGGGCAGUUGGGAGGAAAGAGGACGAAUAUAUUAGAAUUGCAGGAAGUAGAUGCAAUGGAAGAGGAUGAGAUUGAAGCAUCACGAAGGAAGAACAUCAAGAUGUAAGUGAAUAUACCAAUAACUCAAGGGGAAUUGGAGGCUAGCCCCAGAAUGCCUCCAUUGUGUAAAUGAAGAUAGUGGUGUGGAACUGUCGAGGUGUGGGUGGCCCCUUGGCAGUUCCCCAACUGAAAAAGGUUCUGCUCCUGCACUCUCCAAGCAUGGUGUUUUUGUGCAAGACCAAAAAUCAGGAAAAGUAUAUGAAGGAAAUCCAGAGAAAGAUCAAGUGUGAUAAGAGCUACAUAGUCAAUCCUAAAGGUAAAGCAGGUGGUUUAGCUCUUUUUUGAAAAGUUGAGCUGAAUAUUGUGGACAUCAAUGUCACCAACUUUUGUAUAGAAGCGUGUAUAGAGGAUCAGGAACUCAAAUGCCAAUGGUGGCUAAUAAGGAUAUAUGCCAGCACGGAAGACCAAACAAGAAGAGAACAAUGGAAGUACAUUGAACAGAGGAAGAGAAUAUGGGGAGAUAGGUGGAUAGUUACUAGGGAUUUCAAUGACAUAAGGUCCAAUGAAGAAAAAUGAGGGGUAUGGGAGUUUUAAAGAUUUCAACAACUUCAUAAAGGAAAAUGUGUUAGUGGAUAUCGGGUAUGAAGGAGUUUCAUGGAAUUAGAGCAACUUGUGGGAAGGGGAUGGAGAGUUCAAACAAAGGUUAGAUAGGUGUUUGGGAAGUGUAGGCUGGGUGCAACUGUUUGACAUAUCAACAUGCACUCAUAUUGAGAAAGAAGCCUCAAACCAUUGCAUUCUUGUGUUAGAUACUUACCCAACCAACAGAAAAUACAAUAGAAGAUUCUUUUUUUAUCAGAGAUGGACUAGGAAUCCAAAGUCAAAAGAAGUGAUCCAAAUGGCAUGGGAUAAAGAACAAAGAGGGUCAAGGAUGUUCAAAGUGGCAAGAAAAAUCAAAGAAUGCAUAUUUGGUCUAUUGGAGCGGAACAAAAAGAUCAGAGGCAAUUCGCGAGUAAGAAUAAAUGAAAUCAAGAAUCAGCUGGAAAAUGCAAAAGCUAGAAAGGAUCCAAACAAGAAAAGCCUGAUGACCAAUUUGAAAAUGCAGUUGAGCAAGGCAUACAAAGAGGAAGAGUUAUAUUGGAGCCAAAAAUCAAGAAACAGAUGGCUAAAAGAAGGAGAUAAAAACACAGCUUUCUUCCACCUUAGUGUGAUGGCAAAGAGAAAAAGGAACAGGAUCAGCUUACUCCAGAAGUCAAAUGGUGAAUGGUGUAUGAAUGUCUAGGACAUCCAAAGGGAACUUUGCAACCACUAUAGAGAACUUUUCACCACAGGGGAGUCCAAAGAUAUGGAGCGGAUCUUAGAAGCAAUGCCCCAUACUAUUACCAAGCAGAUGAAUGAAAGACUAAUUAAGCUAGUUGAAGAAAAAGAAAUCAAAGUAGCCAUUUUUUCUAUGCACCCGAACAAAGAACCAGGGUUGAGUGGACUUUUCUGGGGAGAUUGAUGAUGAAAAUGGGUUUCUGCCCAAUAUUUAUGAAUUGGAUCAUGGCUUGUAUUUCCACUAUUCCAUACUCCCUUAAUCUAAAUGGUGAGAAAGUAUGAAAGGUUAAGCCUAGCAGGGGUAUUAGACAAGGUGACCUUUGUCACCCUAUCUUUUUGUUAUAUGUGUUGAAGGACUUUCUUGCCCAAUUAAGAAGGCUGUGGAUCAAAAGAUACUAACCGGCAUGAAAAUUUGCAAAGAUUCCCCUAUGGCCUCGUAUUUGUUUUUUGCGGAUGACUCAAUAUUAUGCUGUAAAGUCGAUGAAUAGGAGGCUGUGAAAAGUGAUGGAUAUCUUAGUACGAUAUGGCAGAGCUUCAGGACAGAUGGUAAAUUUUGACAAAUUUGUAGUCUACUUCAGCAGAAACACACCACAGAGGACCAAAAGGAGAGUAUGCAGAGCAAUGGACAAUAUGAAGCAAGCAACCAGUGGCAAAUACCUUGGACUACCUAUGACCAUAGGUGGAACCAAGAAUCUGGUUUUUGGCAAUAUAAAGUGCAAGGUUAACAGCAAGCUGCACAGGUGGAAACAAAAAUUACUGAGUCAAGAGGGCAAAGAAGUACUUGUUAAAGCUGUCAUCAUGGCCAUGCCCUCGUAUGCAAUGUCUUGCUUUAGACUCCCUAAAGGUCUAUGCAAGGAUAUCAGCAGGAGAGUUGCCAACUUUUGGUGGGAAAGUAAGGAUAACAGAACGAAAGCGCAUUGGGCCAGCUAGAAGAAGUUAUCAAAAGUUAAAGGGAACGGUGGCAUAGGCAUUCAAGAUUUGGAAUCCUUUAACUCGGCCCUGCUUGCUAGGCAAAUUUGGAGAAUUUUAACUGCUCCAAAUUUGUUAGCAAGCAAGGUAGUAAAGGUAAAAAUAUAUGAAAAAAGAUGGUUGGAUAGACAAUGACCCUCCACAGUCAGCAUAAUGGGCUUGGAAAAGCAUUCAUAGUGCAAGGCAAAUUCUUCUGAAAUGCUUGUGGAAAAGAGUGAGGGAUGGGAGUAGUAUUGAUAUAUGGAGCGACAAGUGGAUAACAGGGAGGCCAAAUGGAAGAGUAACCACAAGAAAACCAGAAAAUUGUGAAUUGGAAAAAGUAAGUGAUCUCAUAGAUAAUGGGAAAUGGAACACAAAAGUGCUACAGCAAUGGUUCAACACCUCAGAUGUAGAACUGAUAGCAAGCAUCCCCAUCAGCUGCUUUAAAAGGAAGGAUAGAUUUUUCUGGAAACACUCUGCAUCAGGAAACUAUACUGUUAAAUCUGGUUACAUGCUGGCCAGAGAGGAAAUCAAACAACAAGAUCCGAAAGAAGCUGAAAGAGUAGAAACAAGUUGGGAAAGAAGCAAACAAAUAUGUGGAAAAAGAUGUGGGGUCUCAAUAUCAAACUCAAACACAAACAUUUCAUGUGGAAGUGUCCCGUCAAAGAGCUUAUAUACGCGCAAACAGGAGAAGGAGACAACAACAUUUGUAAUGGUUGUGGUGAAGAUAUCGAAACCCUAGAACACAUGUUUUUCUAUUGUCCUGAAGUGCAGAAGGUAUGGAAAAUUGCCUCCUAUCAGAUGGGAUGGUUUGGAAAAUCUACAGCACAACAUCUGGAAAUGGUGGCAAGCAGUUAUGAGGACGGGAACAAAGAAACAAGGUACGGACCACAUAAAUCUCACUGUAACCAUAUAGUGGUACUGUGGAAAGCAAGAAACAAAAAGAUCUUUGAAGAGGAAACAAGAGAUGCUCUAAGGACUGUGCAAAAAGACGCAAAAGGAAUGGAUGGAAUUUGACAAAGCAAUGUAGAAGCAGAAGAAACAAGUAGUAGCACUCACACAAUUCAGCAACACCAAAGGAAGUGGAAGCCACCUAAGGAAGGCAUCAUUAUAAUCAACACAAAUGCUGCUAUCUCAACUAAGAUGAUUAGAACUGGCAAAAAUAUCAUAGCAAGGAACUCGACAGGGAAAAUUCUUGGAGCAAUGGGGCUGGUAGAACACAAAAGGGGAGAAGCAAGCACUGAAGAAGCUCUAGCUGUAAAAGUAGCAUUAAUGAUGGCAAAAAAUGUAGGUUGGACUAAAAUAGACGUCCAGACAGACUGCAAUGGAGUGAUAGAUUAGAUAGAGGCAAAUGAAAUGCCAAAGGGAAAUCUAGCAACUAUCUUGGUAGACAUUGUAGAGUUAAGGAAAGACUUUGAACUGUGUAGUUUUUCUUUUGUCCAUCAAACCGGAAAUCAAUGUAGUUAUAUGCUAGCUCAACAUGCAGUAAAGCUAGUUAAUGACUUAAAUUGGGAAAAUCAUUUCCCAGUGUGGCUAACCGACUUAGCUCGAAAUUAUUUGAGUGCAGUUGCCCUUUUUUGUAA